ensembl:lncRNA LINC01278 long intergenic non-protein coding RNA 1278
GAGAACCUGGGGACGCUAGGUUCCGGAACCUGACCUGAGCUGGGGCCUGUGCUUCCAGCGGGUGGUGGGGGGCCUGGUGUGCUGGCAUCAAGUAAGCCGACUACCUCGGCAAAGGCUUAGGGACAAGAGACCAGCAGCCUGAACUGGCUGGGGCAUCCGGAAGGCUUAGAUCUUGUGGCCAAGAGUUCAGACCGUGGCGAAGUGGAGAGUGACAUGCAGUUGGAUGGCGGUGACUGCGUGGUAUGGAAGAAAAUUCAGCUGAAAUUUGCUAGAAAAUGAGUUGUUUUGGAAAGAGACUGUAGAGAAAGGCAAAUGGAAGAAGAAAGCUUCUGUGCCCCCACAGAUACCGACUGAAAAGUGUUAGCAUGAGCAAAAGUUCCUAUCUAAUAUUAUAUGCUUUCCUUUGCUCCCAGCAUUCCACAAUCACGGGCUACUUCAAUUCUGCCUGCUGAGCUGAUUUAAUAAUCUGGAAGAGGAUUAUUCUCCCCCAUCUGGAAGAGGAUUAUUCUCUAUAAUCCCAGUUAGAGACACAAUGACAUAAACAUCGCUAUGAUGUCAGAAGUGGGAUCCAAAGUAGAGCUUAUAAUGACACCUAGGAGUGCUGAGUGACCAAGCAAGGUACCCACCAGGCCGAUUAUGUCCAUUGUUCUCUUGGAGCAGCUGGUCAUCAUGUCAUUUUCACAGUUCAUUGCUUAAUGCUGAUGCAGUUUCUGAAAACUUCACAAGCAUACAGAACCCUAGAAUAUGGUGUGUUUUAGGAGGUUUAUGAAAGGAUGGAAGGGACCCUGAAAAGCACUCUUGAAUACAUGUUUCUGAUAACUUUAGAAUCAUAUCAUUUGGACUGGGUAAGAAUUCCUGGAACUUGGAUAAAAAGACUGGUUUAUAAAACUGCCAACCCAAGUAGUACAAAAAUUAAUUGAAUACCAUGAAAAUACCUUGCCAGAUUUUCAUGCUAAAUCAGCCAAUACUGAAAUUGAACACCAUGGUGUAAGUCAAAUUACCUGUGAUAACCUAUCAGUUUUCAGUGCUAUGCACCUAAAUUGAAGAAACAACUGGUAUUCAAGAGAACAUAAGUCCAAUGUUAAGCACGGACUCUUGGAGAUCCAGGACAGCCACCUUGUACUUCCUGAGUUCUUAAACCUUUUGUUAUUAAAAGUUAUGCAUUCCACGACACAUCGUGGAAAAAAUAAAAUGAUCCAAAUUAAAUAUAUAUUGGUAUAGUGACUUCUCAAUUGCUAAAAUAGUUUCUGACCAAUGUUUGGUUUGUCAAACCCAUAUUGCUGGGAAGACAAUGCUUCAGGUACAUUCUGUUACCUGAUGGCCCACUGAAACAUUUACAGAGGGAUUUCAUUCAAUUAUUAUUUCCAAUGCAUGUUUUCUGGUUUUAUAAAAGCUUUCCCAUGCAAGAUAGCUAAUUUUACAAUAGGAUCAUGUUGUGCCACAGUGUAUUUUCACCAAGUAAAGAAAGCUUUGCAUGGUUCACUGACUGAGAACAAUAAACCUCUUCUUAAUCGAGAACCUGAAGAUCAGAUCUUCUGAGAACAUCAGAAAAAGACUUCCCUUGCCAUCCACACUGCAGCAAAACUUCAGGACCUUAAAUGCUGGGUUCAUAAUUUCACAACUGAGAAGGGACCCUCCACACUCUUGGAACUGUACACCUAGACCAAACUAAAAUACAGUCACUCUUGCUAAAUGUAACAUAAUCAAACUAAGACUUUAAGGAAACAAGCAAAUCCUAGAAAAGACCAGGUUUUUGUAUUUUUUUUCCUCCUGUAAACAGUACCUUCCAACAUAAGGAGGUACCCUCUACUCUAACACUUACAAAAAUAAUAAGAAUAAUAACCUGGAGUCCUUGUAAGGUGAAACCUUACAAAACCCACUGCUCUGCUGUUUCCUAGUGGGUUUCAAGAGGAAAUAAGUACUUUUACAGUGGUGAUGGUGAAAUCAAUGACUAACAUUUUGGUCAAUCUCCCACAAUUUAGAGAAUGACCAAAACGGGGGAAUUGUUAAAUCAAGUUUAUCCUAAAUUGAUGGGAUCAAUCAUACUCCAAACCUUGACACUGCAC